AUGAAGGAGAUCCCGACGAAGAAGAAGACGACGAAGAAGCCGUCGGUUGUCGUCAGUGCCGACGAGACCGACGAGGAGGCGAUGGCGAGGUUUGCUCGGGAGCAUCCGGAGUACGUCCAGGCCGAGCUGGAGUACUACUGGAAGCGUGAGGCGGAGCAGAAGAAGAAGGGGGCGAAGAAGGAGGACGAGGCCGGUCCCUCGACGGUGAUCCCCAUCGAGUCCUCUUCCGAGGAGGACCGGGCAGACUUCUCGGAGGAGGAGGAGGAGGGGUGCGACGACCCGGAGAAGGAGGAGUUCUGGGCGCAGUUCCGCAGCUCCGACGAUGAGGAGUAG
rnacentral:rRNA from 1 species